CGGAGGGUGCAAGCGUUAUCCGGAUUUACUGGGUUUAAAGGGUGUGUAGGCGGACUUUUAAGUCAGCGGUGAAAUCUCCGGGCUCAACCCGGAAACUGCCAUUGAUACUAUUGGUCUUGAGUGUUGUUGAGGUGGGCGGAACGGGUCAUGUAGCGGUGAAAUGCAUAGAUAUGACCCGGAACACCGAUUGCGUAGGCAGCCCACUAAGCAACGAUUGACGCUGAGGCACGAAAGCGUGGGGAUCAAACAGGAUUAGAUACCCUGGUAGUCCACGCCCUAAACGAUGAUUACUCGACGUUGGCGAUACACUGAUCAGCGUCCAAGCGAAAGCAUUAAGUAAUCCACCUGGGAAGUACGUUCGCAAGAAUG
rnacentral:rRNA from 1 species